rnacentral:rRNA from 1 species
AUGUCUGGUUGUACAGCAAUCUUGCGUCGGUCGUCUCAGAAUCUUAUGGAGUUAUCGAUUGGGUCCAAAUCUCCUGGCGCUUCUUUGAGGGGGUUCAACAGCUGUGCCAGGGGCAAGGUAAAACCAGGCAAUUCAAUUAUUGGGCAGAUGAAAGCAAUGGAUCGUUUUCCUCCAGCCAAUGGUGUGUCAAGGGCUAUGAUGCCCCUUUCUGCUUAUAUGGGCACUAAUUGGUUGAAUACUUCAAGGCCCAGUUUUAAUGCAUUGCCAGGACCGUUAGGUGUUUCCAGCAUCCGCCGUGCAUACUCAUCAGACACUGGAAUUAAGCCUGAAGUCCCAAUUGUUCCUCCCACUGAAACUGCUGAGGUUGGUACUGGAGGAACCACUUGGAUGGACAUUUUUGAAAAUGCUCGCAACUCCACCAUUGAUGCUACGACUGAUGCAGGCAAGAAAGUGAAGGAGAUGACUGAUGCAGUCACACCCCAUGUUCAAAGUUUUCUUGAGGCAAAUCCAGAUCUAGAAAAGGUAGUUGUUCCACUUGGAGGAACAUUAUGUGGUACCCUUUUGGCCUGGUUUGUCAUGCCUAUCGUCUUCAAGAGGCUUCAUAAGUAUGGUUCACAGAACCCGAUAUCAGCACUUUUGGGGAACUCAGUCAACACCAAUGCUUCAUAUAGCACCAGCCUUUGGAGUGCAUUGGAGGAUCCUGCAAAAUACUUGAUCACAUUUAUGGCAUUUUCAGAGAUGGCUGCAGUGAUCGCACCAAGUGUAUCACCUUAUUUUCCACAAGCUUUGAGGGGUGCAUUUGUAUUGUCAGUUGUCUGGUUUCUUCAUAGGUGGAAAGCAAACUUUAUCACUAAAGCUAUGGCCAACCAAACUGCCUUAGUUACUGAUAGAGCAAGGUUAUCAGCUUUUAACCAAGUCUCCUCAUUGGGACUGAUUGCACUUGGUAUAAUGGGUCUUGCUGAGGCUUGUGGUGUAGCUGUUCAAUCAAUAUUAACUGUUGGUGGUGUGGGAGGUGUUGCUACGGCUUUUGCUGCUAGAGAUGUCUUGGGCAACGUGUUGAAUGGGUUCUCCUUACAAUUUUCUAGGCCAUUCUCAGUUGGAGAAUACAUAAAGGCUGGGUCAAUAGAAGGCACGGUACUCGAAAUAGGACUUACUUCAACUUUGAUGAUGAGUCCAGAAAAGCUUCCUUUCACAGUACCCAACUCUUUGUUCUCAAGUCAGAUCAUAGUGAAUAGAUCACGAGCUCAGUGGCGAGUAAGUGUGACCAAGAUUCCUAUAAGACUUGAGGAUAUUGAGAAGGUUCCUGCUGUAGCAGAGGAGAUCAAGGCUAUGUUAAGGUCCAACCCAAAAGUUAUCUUGGAAACAGAUGCUCCUUACUGCUACCUGUCAAGAUUGGAAAGUUCAUAUGGAGAGCUUGUCAUAGGGUGCAUCCUCCAAAAAAUGAGAAAGGACGAGUUGAUAUAUGCAGAACAGGACAUUCUUCUAGGAGCUGCCAGGAUUAUCAAGUCACAUGGCGUUGAAUUUGGAAGCACCACGCAGUGCUGCUGA